rnacentral:lncRNA from 1 species
GAGAGAGAGAGAGGGAGAGAGAGAGAAUAUUUCUGCUUUUACCUAUUUUAGUUGUAGGACUUUUCUGAAGAAGGUUAAUUUGAACAAAAAGUUUUUUGACAAAAACUUAUUCAAGAAAGCAGAGAUCAAGAUUGUUGAAGCAAAUUGUUCAGUUUUACACAGCCAAGUAAAGGAAAUUCAGAGCAAGAAUUUAGAACAAACCCAAUCUGGUGUCUCUCCAAUACUGAUGGCGAUAGGAGAUAGGGGCAGGAGGAUAGAAAGUGGGCAAGGAAAGGUGCUUCAGGAAUCAAAGAAAAAAAUGUUGGGAAUUUUGUAUGGGGUGGAGCCAUAGGAUUAUAUGUGGACUUUAAAAACAUUUGUAUGGAAGAUAAGACCCAGAAACAGCAAAUCACAUAAAACAAUUGUGGAACUCAAGAAUUAUACAGUGAACACCAUUGCCUUCACCAUCCAGGUCAAGAACAGAAAUUUUCAGCCUCCGCAGAAGACCUUCAGUUUUAGAGGCCAGAAAUUCAAAAUGAAGGCAUUGGCAGAGUUGGUUCCUCUGGGGGCUCUAAGAGAAGAUUCAUUUCAUGCCUACUUCCCAGCCUCUGAUUUAACAUGCUAGCCUGCGGAGACAGUAGAACUGCGAUGCUUCACGGAUAGGCCCUCAACCACAGUGAAAGGCUGCCAGACACAGAGAAGUAAGGAAAAGAGAUGAGCUCUAUGAGGAAAUGCAAAAAGCAAUUAUAAUUUCAAUUGUGGAAAAAGAAAACUCAGAAGUCAACUUAAGAACUUGCCAGUCAGACUGCUUUUUGAGGGAGCUGUCCGAUGAGCUGGUGUUGCUAUUUGAGGUGAACCACCCAGCUAGCUGGGUGGCUUGACUACCUAGAGGGAAAACUUGACCAUUCAUACAGCAGAGAAAGACGUGACUAAAGAACACUGUCCCCACUAUACACUUCCACCCUGCAUGACAUCAGUGAAUCUUUGACUUCCUUUAGGUUAGCAAAGCAUGGAAACGAAUUUCAGGCCAAAUGACGAUACAUUCAUGAUCGCUGGACAAUUUUAUUAUCUGGAUCCUGGGGCAGUGCAUGCAGUGUUUGUCCUGGAGCAACCUCCUUAAGGGGCCACCUCUGCUUGAGCAACACGCUGGAAGCUUCAUAGAUAGAGUCUUCUGUGUCCAGGCUGGAGUGCAGUAACGCAAUCUCAGCUCACUGCAACGUCUGCCUCCCGGGUUCAAGCAAUUCUCCUGCCUCAGCCUCCCAAGUAGCUGCGACUAGAGGCGCACACCACCACACCCAGGGAAUGAAGCAUGGACUGUGUGACUCUACCAGGAGCGACCCCUUGGAAGCUUGUAUUUGGUAUCCUCUGGACUUCAUUCAU